AAACAAACACAUUUUGGAAGACUACUGACCAGUAGCCAGAAGGAAGGUCCUGAGUCAUCGAAGUGUUCUCCAGCUGGCAAAGGAGUAUGAAAACCCCCUGGCCAGAUCUGUCCUUGCUGGAGCAUCGAGAAUAAAGUACGAUUACGAUACCAAAAUCUACAAAAUGUGAAAGAGUAAAGGAAAACUAUCAGAUGAGAACCAAUUAUUUUUAUUCCAGAGAUAUAGUCCAUGACGUCCGGGAUGGUUGGUCGACUGGUGCACUCCUGUAUCCUUGCGCAAUGCACGUACUCACCAGGUACUUCCAUAAGAAGACUAAAUCACUACUUCGUAAGUAUUUGAGAGAAUACGCUUGAGAAAAUACAUUUCCUGCCAUAUAUUGUAUGAAAGCCUACUGUGCAGAGUCAGGAAUCUGGAUUCUGAUUUUGACUGGGCCUCCCAUGAACUGGACCUUAGAAGAGGUUCCACUUCUGAGCCUUAUUUUCUUAAUCUUUAAAACCUAUCUCUCAGAGCUAUUACAGUGUUGAAAUAUAAGGUUAUUUCAGGGAGUGCAGUCCCAUGUUUGCACAAAGAAGGAAUUUAAUCACCCCUUUUACAAGCCACCCCCCACCCCCCCGCCCCGCCACUGCCCCACAGCCCAUAUACUCCCAAUUAAGGUUUUAUACCAACCUUACCUUAAGAACAUUAGGUUCCACUUGAAACAUUUUUUUGUAAA